UAUUGCACAAUGGGCGAAAGCCUGAUGCAGCAACGCCGCGUGAGGGAUGACGGCCUUCGGGUUGUAAACCUCUUUUAGUAGGGAAGAAGCUUUAUUGUGACGGUACCUACAGAAAAAGCACCGGCUAACUACGUGCCAGCAGCCGCGGUAAUACGUAGGGUGCAAGCGUUGUCCGGAAUUAUUGGGCGUAAAGAGCUCGUAGGCGGUUUGUUGCGUCUGCUGUGAAAACCCGAGGCUCAACCUCGGGCUUGCAGUGGGUACGGGCAGGCUAGAGUGCGGUAGGGGAGAUUGGAAUUCCUGGUGUAGCGGUGGAAUGCGCAGAUAUCAGGAGGAACACCGAUGGCGAAGGCAGAUCUCUGGGCCGCUACUGACGCUGAGGAGCGAAAGCAUGGGGAGCGAACAGG
rnacentral:rRNA from 1 species